AAUUUUGGACAAUGGGGGAAACCCUGAUCCAGCCAUCCCGCGUGUAUGAUGAAGGCCUUCGGGUUGUAAAGUACUUUUGGCAGAGAAGAAAAGCUACCUCCUAAUACGAGGUACUGCUUUCGGUGUCUUCAGAAUAAGCACCGGCUAACUACGUGCCAGCAGCCGCGGUAAUACGUAGGGUGCAAGCGUUAAUCGGAAUUACUGGGCGUAAAGCGUGUGUAGGCGGUUCGGAAAGCAAGAUGUGAAAUCACAGGGCUCAACCUUGGAACUGCAUUUUUAACUGCCGAGCUAGAGUAUGUCAGAGGGAGGUAGAAUUCCACGUGUAGCAGUGAAAUGCGUAGAUAUGUGGAGGAAUACCGAUGGCGAAGGCAGCCCCCUGGGAUAAUACUGACGCUCAGACACGAAAGCGUGGGGAGCAAACAG
rnacentral:rRNA from 1 species